rnacentral:ncRNA from 1 species
GUGCCUUCUUCUCCAUGAGCCAAAAAGAGAAGAGGUGCCACAACCUCAAAUUGCGGGAAACUCCUUAGAGCCGAGGCUACCACCUUUUGGAACCACGCGUAAUGGCGUGGGUAUGGUAAAAAUGCCGAGGAUUGGAUAAUCCGCAGCCAAGCCCUUCACAGGGAAGGUUCAGAGACUAUAAGGGGUUGCGUUUCUUUUGCAUUUGAAAAGAAGCGUAAGAUAUAGUCCACUCCAACCAGAGAUGGUUUU